rnacentral:rRNA from 1 species
CGGCCACAUUGGGACUGAGAUACGGCCCAGACUCCUACGGGAGGCAGCAGUGGGGAAUAUUGCACAAUGGGCGCAAGCCUGAUGCAGCGACGCCGCGUGCGGGAUGACGGCCUUCGGGUUGUAAACCGCUUUUGACUGGGAGCAAGCCCUUCGGGGUGAGUGUACCUUUCGAAUAAGCACCGGCUAACUACGUGCCAGCAGCCGCGGUAAUACGUAGGGUGCAAGCGUUAUCCGGAAUUAUUGGGCGUAAAGGGCUCGUAGGCGGUUCGUCGCGUCCGGUGUGAAAGUCCAUCGCUUAACGGUGGAUCCGCGCCGGGUACGGGCGGGCUUGAGUGCGGUAGGGGAGACUGGAAUUCCCGGUGUAACGGUGGAAUGUGUAGAUAUCGGGAAGAACACCAAUGGCGAAGGCAGGUCUCUGGGCCGUCACUGACGCUGAGGAGCGAAAGCGUGGGGAGCGAACAGGAUUAGAUACCCUGGUAGUCCACGCCGUAAACGGUGGAUGCUGGAUGUGGGGACCAUUCCACGGUCUCCGUGUCGGAGCCAACGCGUUAAGCAUCCCGCCUGGGGAGUACGGCCGCAAGGCUAAAACUCAAAGAAAUUGACGGGGGCCCGCACAAGCGGCGGAGCAUGCGGAUUAAUUCGAUGCAACGCGAAGAACCUUACCUGGGCUUGACAUGUUCCCGACAGCCCCAGAGAUGGGGCCUCCCUUCGGGGCGGGUUCACAGGUGGUGCAUGGUCGUCGUCAGCUCGUGUCGUGAGAUGUUGGGUUAAGUCCCGCAACGAGCGCAACCCUCGCCCUGUGUUGCCAGCACGUCGUGGUGGGAACUCACGGGGGACCGCCGGGGUCAACUCGGAGGAAGGUGGGGAUGACGUCAGAUCAUCAUGCCCCUUACGUCCAGGGCUUCACGCAUGCUACAAUGGCCGGUACAACGGGAUGCGACACCGCGAGGUGGAGCGGAUCCCUUAAAACCGGUCUCAGUUCGGAUUGGAGUCUGCAACCCGACUCCAUGAAGGCGGAGUCGCUAGUAAUCGCGGAUCAGCAACGCCGCGGUGAAUGCGUUCCCGGGCCUUGUACACACCGCCCGUCAAGUCAUGAAAGUGGGUAGCACCCGAAGCCGGUGGCCCAACCUUUUUGGGGGGAGCCGUCUAAGGUGAGACUCGUGAUUGGGACUAAGUCGUAACAAGGUAGCCGUACCGGAAGGUGCGGCUG